rnacentral:rRNA from 1 species
ACACGUAUGAAAGUCAAGCUGAAAGACUUUACUCAAUGAUGUAAGUGGUGGUGCAUGGUCGUUCUUAGUUCGUGGAUUGAUUUGUCUGGUCUAUUCCGAUAACGAGCGAGACCCCGGCGUUCCUAAUAGGGGUAGUAGCCAGACCGGUCGCAAGGCCGUUUAGCUCACUACCCGAAGUUAUACUUCUUAGACGUAUCAGAGCCGAUAAGGUUCUUGAAAUGGGUUAAUAACAGGUCAGUCAUGCCCUUAGAUGUUCUGGGCCGCACGCGCGUUACAAUGGCAUGUAUAACGAGUGCUUGAAUAAGGCGUCUCCGAGGUCGAAAGGUCUCGGUAACCCUUAGUCCCUGCUUUGACUGGGACAGAUCUUUGCAAUUAUUGGUCUCAAACGAGGAAUUUUUAGUAAUCGUAGGUCAUUAACCUGCGUUGA